CUGACAGGGUCCAUUCCAUUCUCCCCACUCUGUACCCACGUGAGGAAGUACAGAUGAAGGCUGCCUCUCCAGACCUUUAACCCACAUACACAUCUGCCCCACUGCUGUGGGACAGGAAGCCCCAGAGCUGCUGAGAACUGGAGCAAAUCAUGACCAACCCCUUGUGGAUCCACUGACCCUGCAUUUUCUUUCCUGAGACACUAGACCAGCCCCACCUCCCAGCUGGCAACCUGGGACUCCAGCUCACAGACCACUUCCUCCUCCUGGUGAAGCAGCCUGACCUUUGGGAUGCUGCUCCUGAGGGGAUUCGCCUUCUCCUGCCUCUGGGUUUUUGGACUCGGGCAGCUGGAACAAACUGAAAUGUCAGUCACUGGACUGACAGGUGAGAGUGCCCAAAUACCCUGUAAAGUUUCUCUUCCAGAUUUUGGCAAUACAUAUAUACAUUGGUACUGUCAGAAAACCAACCGAAAGUUUGAGUAUCUACUAUAUGUCAAGACAAGUUACAAUCAACUCACCUUGAAUGGGAAGAACAAGAAAAUUGAAGGCAGUAAAGACUUUCAAACUUCUACUUCAACCUUGAAAGUAAAUUUCUUGAAGAAGGAGGAUGAAGCCACCUACUACUGUGCAGUCUGUGCAGGCUCAUCAUGGAUCAUGGUAUUUGGAAGUGGGACAAAGCUCAGAGUAAUUCCCUCAGGCAAACAUUUGGGUUCAGACAUUUCUCCCAAGCCUACCAUCUUUCUUCCUUCUGUUGCUGAAACAAAUCAUGAUAAGGCCGGGACAUACCUUUGUCUCCUUGAGAAAUUCUUCCCUGACGUUAUAAGGGUAUAUUGGAAGAAAAAGAAUGGUGAUCAGAUUCUGAAAUCUCAAGAGGGAAACACCGUGAAGACUGGCGACACAUACAUGAAGUUAAGCUGGCUGACUGUGCCUGAAGACUCAAUGGAUAAAGAGCAUAGAUGUAUUGUCCAACACGAAAGCAAUAAGAGAGGUCAUCAAGAGGUUCUGUUUCCUCCCAUAAAAAAAGAAGCUGCUUUGAAAACUGAAAAUGAUGUGACAACUAUUAAAGUUAAUCCCAGAGAAAGUGUUUCGAAAUGGGAAAAUGGAAACAAUACUACUGAUAUGGAAGCUUGCAAGGCAGAAAUAAAGGAUGUGCUGCAGCUUCAGCUCACAAACACCUCUGUGUUCUACAACUACCUCAUCCUGUUCUUCAAGAGUCUGGUCCACUUGGCCUUCGUUGUAUUCUGUCUGUUGAGAAGAACAGCUGUGCCUUGCAAUGGUCCGAGUUCAUAAUGGAUGAUGAAACGGGAGGGUACCAUUGUCUUCAUCCUUUGCUGUACCUCAGUAUCUGCUGAGGGUCUGGUUAAUGUUGCUUGUAGCUUCGACCUCCUAAAAAUCACAUAUGUGUAACUUUAUAUCAUGUUUUUAAAGCAGGGAGAAAAAGGAUCCACUUCACUCUACAACAAAUAGUAGCCCCAGGAAGCACCCAGCCAUCCUAAUCCUUCAUCUCUAAGUCUGUCUAAGAGCACAGAGCAUGACAGGCCCAAUGUAAACAAACUGCAGCUUCUAGUUGCCUCACUUCAUGCCUUAGAACCAGAUAAUGCCCCCAAAGCCUCUACCACAUGCACUGAAGAACCUUAUUUGAAGUUGAAUUCUGUGCUUUGUUUUGCCAAAUAAAAAUUAAAAAAAAAAAUA